rnacentral:snRNA from 1 species
AUACUUACCUGGACGGGGUCAAUGGGCGAUCAAGAAAGUUCAUGGCCUAGGUAGUUGGUCUCCAUUGCACUUAGGAGAUGCACCUGCCUAAAGGUCUCCCCAAGUGGGAGAGCCUACGUCAUAAUU